UACGUAGGGUCCGAGCGUUGUCCGGAAUUACUGGGCGUAAAGAGCUCGUAGGUGGUUUGUCGCGUUGUUCGUGAAAACUCACAGCUUAACUGUGGGCGUGCGGGCGAUACGGGCAGACUUGAGUACUGCAGGGGAGACUGGAAUUCCUGGUGUAGCGGUGGAAAUGCGCAGAUAUCAGGAGGAACACCGGUGGCGAAGGCGGGUCUCUGGGCCGAACUGACG
rnacentral:rRNA from 1 species